rnacentral:rRNA from 1 species
CGCCUGCAUGAAGUCGGAAUUGCUAGUAAUCGCGGAUCAGCAUGCCGCGGUGAAUACGUUCCCGGGCCUUGUACACACCGCCCGUCACACCAUGGGAGCCGGUAAUACCCGAAGUCAGUAGUCCAACCUCGUGAGGACGCUGCCGAAGGUAGGAUUGGCGACUGGGGUGAAGUCGUAACAAGGUACC